ACGCUCGACACCUACGGAAGGCAGCAGUGGGGAAUAUUGCACAAUGGGGGAAACCCUGAUGCAGCGACGCCGCGUGAGCGAAGAAGUAUUUCGGUAUGUAAAGCUCUAUCAGCAGGGAAGAAACUGACGGUACCUGACUAAGAAGCACCGGCUAAAUACGUGCCAGCAGCCACGGUAAUCUGAGCGGGCUGGCAAGGC
rnacentral:rRNA from 1 species